GUUGAGGUCUAAUCCCGAUAGGGCUUUUCGUGUAGCCUGCAUGUUGUUGGAAAUGCCUCACAGAGUAACUCUGGUUUUACUAUACUCACAGGACUUUUGUUAGACCUGUGGGAAGGAACCACAAGGCAGUU
ensembl:snoRNA